CACGCGCCCUCCCACCUCUGCUUCCCGGCCUGGACUCCCUCCUCCCCGAGGGAAGGUGGAACCUCACCCCAAACACAAAGGAGCCCCCAAGAGGAUCCUGUGAAAGACAGUGAUGUGCAGGAGGGUAGGAAAGGAGGAAAAACUGAUCUUCGGGCGAGCCAGGCUGCCCGCGAGGAGGCCCAGAGAGGCCCGCGGAAGCGCAGCUCCGGGAAGGCGACUCUCUUCUCCUGCGAGCGCGGCUCUACCGGAGGAGGCGGCGACAGUGGGCAGGCUACGCCGGCGAUCCCCCCAGCUCCUCGCACGGACGUGCCAGGCGCCCAGAAGGCGACUAGGCGUCUCCCACUGAAGCUGAAGGCGUCCGAGCAAGGAAGGGGGGG